rnacentral:rRNA from 1 species
UACAGAGGUGGCAAGCGUUGUUCGGAAUUACUGGGCGUAAAGGGCGCGUAGGCGGUCUUGUAAGUCCCGUGUGAAAUCCCUCGGCUCAACUGAGGAACUGCACGGGAAACUGCUUGGCUUGAGUUCGGGAGAGGGAAGCGGAAUUCCGGGUGGUAGCGGUGAAAUACGCAGAUAUCGGGAGGAACACCAAUGGCGAAGGCAGCUCGCUGGGACGGUACGUGACGCUG